UUUCCGCUCGGCCUCGGAGAAGGGAGGAUAGUCAGCGCGGGCAGCGAUGUGGGCAGUGCGCCCCUCCGGUGUGGCGCGGGCCUGGCCUCGACCUCCAGGAUGUUGGGGUUCCCGCGGCUUUACUUAUCCUUUUCCUGCUGGGACUCCCGAGUCCGUGCCGAAGACCAUACCCAUCCCGGGUUUUGGGGGUUUCUGUCCAGGCUCCCGGGGCCUCCACGCCGCGCCUUUGCACCUUUCGUCCACGCGGACUCUGCUCCAUGCCAGCUAAGGCGUAUUUCGUAAAUGCAUGAGAACAUAAAUUCAACAAUUAUGGAGGUCAUCCUGUUUCCCAGAAGACUGGUGACCGACUGACUAAACCCACUAGAAGCAUUACACAUGUCAAUAAGGUAGCCAACAAUUUUCAAGUCUUGCUGUAAUGUGGACUUACUCUUUGUAUCAAGGGUAAUAACAUGGAACAUUUGGUAAAGGAGAUUUGAUCAAGAAGAGGACGGAAAUGACUGAAAUGUUAUUUUGUUAUUAUCAUAGAAUAAACUAUGUAAAGGACAUAGAAUAUUUUGAAUUGCUGGAUAAUAAAUUGUUUUCAUAUA